AGAACGAACGCUGGCGGCAGGCUUAACACAUGCAAGUCGAACGCUCGGAGCAAUCCGGGAGUGGCAGACGGGUGAGUAACGCGUGGGAAUAUACCCUUCGGUUCGGAAUAACUUGGGGAAACUCAAGCUAAUACCGAAUACGGCCUAUGGGCGAAAGAUUGAUCGCCGAAGGAAUAGCCCGCGUCCGAUUAGCUAGUUGGUGAGGUAAUGGCUCACCAAGGCGACGAUCGGUAGCUGGUCUGAGAGGAUGACCAGCCACAUUGGGACUGAGACACGGCCCAAACUCCUACGGGAGGCAGCAGUGGGGAAUAUUGGACAAUGGGCGCAAGCCUGAUCCAGCCAUGCCGCGUGAGUGAUGAAGGCCUUAGGGUUGUAAAGCUCUUUUAUUCGGGAAGAAAGGGGACUAAUAAACGGGUUUCUGAUGACGGUACCGAAGGAAUCAGCACCGGCUAACUACGUGCCAGCAGCCGC
rnacentral:rRNA from 1 species